GACGAACGCUGGCGGUGUGCUUAACACAUGCAAGUCGAACGGUAAGGCCCUUUCGGGGGUACACGAGUGGCGAACGGGUGAGUAACACGUGAGUAACCUGCCCUCAUCUCUGGGAUAACAGUCGGAAACGGUUGCUAAUACUGGAUAUGAGCUUGCAAGGCAUCUUGUGGGUUGGAAAGAUUUUUUUGGUUGGGGAUGGACUCGCGGCCUAUCAGCUUGUUGGUGAGGUAGUGGCUCACCAAGGCUUCGACGGGUAGCCGGCCUGAGAGGGCGACCGGCCACAUUGGGACUGAGAUACGGCCCAAACUCCUACGGGAGGCAGCAGUGGGGAAUAUUGCACAAUGGACGGAAGCCUGAUGCAGCAACGCCGCGUGCGGGAUGACGGCCUUCGGGUUGUAAACCGCUUUCAAUUGUGACGAAGCUUUUUGUGACGGUAGCAGUAGAAGAAGCACCGGCUAACUACGUG
rnacentral:rRNA from 1 species